ACUUAUGUAGUUUAUUUACAAAACACUAUAUUUUCAUUAUAGAAAUAAAAAUUCUUUUCUUAAGUU
rnacentral:tRNA from 1 species